UGGGGAAUUUUGCGCAAUGGGCGAGAGCCUGACGCAGCAACGCCGCGUGGGUGAUGAAGGUCUUCGGAUCGUAAAACCCUGUCGUCAGGGACGAAGGUUGCGAGUUUAAGAGAUGCGCAACUUGACGGUACCUGGAGAGGAAGCCCCGGCUAACUCUGUGCCAGCAGCCGCGGUAAUACAGAGGGGGCAAGCGUUAUUCGGAAUUAUUGGGCGUAAAGGGCGCGUAGGCGGUUUCUUAAGUGAGAUGUGUAAUCCCCGGGCUUAACCUGGGAACUGCAUCUCAUACUGGGAGGCUAGAGUACUGGAGAGGGUGGUAGAAUUCCACGUGUAGCGGUGAAAUGCGUAGAGAUGUGGAGGAAUACCAGUGGCGAAGGCGGCCACCUGGACAGUAACUGACGCUGAGGCGCGAAAGUGUGGGGAGCAAACA
rnacentral:rRNA from 1 species